rnacentral:rRNA from 1 species
UUGACAUACUAAGAACUUUCCAGAGAUGGAUUGGUGCCUUCGGGAACUUAGAUACAGGUGCUGCAUGGCUGUCGUCAGCUCGUGUCGUGAGAUGUUGGGUUAAGUCCCGCAACGAGCGCAACCCUUUUCCUUAUUUGCCAGCGGGUCAUGCCGGGAACUUUAAGGAUACUGCCAGUGACAAACUGGAGGAAGGCGGGGACGACGUCAAGUCAUCAUGGCCCUUACGGCCAGGGCUACACACGUGCUACAAUGGUCGGUACAAAGGGUUGCUAUCUCGCGAGAGGAUGCUAAUCUCAAAAAGCCGAUCGUAGUCCGGAUCGCAGUCUGCAACUCGACUGCGUGAAGUCGGAGUCGCUAGUAAUCGCGGAUCAGAAUGCCGCGGUGAAUACGUUCCCGGGCCUUGUACACACCGCCCGUCACACCAUGGGAGUUUGUUGCACCAGAAGUAGGUAGUCUAACCGCAAGGAGGACGCUUACCACGGUGUGGCCGAUGACUGGGGUGAAGUCGUAACAAGGUAGGCGUAGAUGA